rnacentral:rRNA from 1 species
GACGAAGGAUGCAAGCGUUAUCCGGAUUCAUUGGGUUUAAAGGGUGCGUAGGCGGCCUAGUAAGUCAGUGGUGAAAUCUCCUCGCUUAACGAGGAAACUGCCAUUGAUACUGCUGGGCUUGAGUACAGAUGCUGUGGGCGGAAUAUGACAUGUAGUGGUGAAAUACAUAGAGAUGUCAUAGAACACCGAUUGCGAAGGCAGCUCACAAAACUGUAACUGACGCUGAGGCACGAAAGUGCGGGGAUCAAAC